rnacentral:lncRNA from 1 species
CGUCUUUUCAUAACGUUAACAACUGACGUCUCUUAUGACAUUCUGUCAAAAGUGUUCCCGUCUUAUUUGUAUACUUUUACUCGUAAUAUUUUCGUUCCGGAAAGAUUCAAAUUAAUCCAUCAAAAGUAAAUUGAAUAAGUGCAUCGAAUUGAAUGCUCCCCGUUUAGCAGCAAUUGUCCAAUCAGUAAGGUAAACGAUUUCAACGCCUCGCCUAGUGUACAUACGGACGUCCAACUCAAACAAGGCUGUUUUUCUAUUUGCUUAAAAAAAAGGUAGAUUCCGAUAAAGUUAUCGUUAUUGGCUGCUUAUCUCUUUGUAGAUAAAGGCUUCGGGUCAUACUGGAAAUAUGUAGAGCAUCAUUCGAUGCUGCAUUAGUAAUGUGUCUACUGUUUUUCAACGAUAUGUAACAACCGGAGAAAUGUUUGUUGCCAACUUUUAUGUCGGCUUGUUGUGCCUCUGUUUUCUUUUCACUAAAGCCCUGUGUAAAGUGGGGCGAAAGUGCAAUUCAUCCAACGCUAUUGACGAUGGUUCUUGCCUGGACACUGAAGUGUGCGAUGAUCUUACCAAUUCUUGCAUUUGCGGGCUUUCCUACGUCGAGCUCAACUUCACAUGCUCGACCUGGGCCGAUCAACCCCAAACAACCCCCAAGUACUCCAACUCAGUGGACAACCAAGGUAGCGGAUCCCUUGUAGCGGGCAUUCUCAUUCCUCUAUUUUUAAUUGCCUUUGUGAUAUGUGGUGUUUAUAUAAGUAAGCGGUUUGAAUUAGUUAAAUGGCUGAGGGAGAAGUUUGGGCAAAGAAAUCGAACUUACGAUGAGUUCAUGAUCGGGCAAGAUGACGAUGAUGAUCUGCCGAUUGCAUAUUAAGAAAGACCUAGGACAUGUUUAGCUAAAAAUUAAUUUCUCAAAAGUACCUCUAAACUGCCUACUGUAAAAAUGCUUCGCAAUUUAACAAUUUCUUAAAUAAUUCAAAUAACUGCACAAUUUUUGAAAGGUUUCGCUUGUUAAUCCGAACAGCCUGUUAGACCGGAAAUACUGGCUGUACUAGAUGAAGCAUUUGUAUUACUGGUUGGUUUGAGCCGACCUAUUAUUAACAUUAUGUUGCCCUUUAACUCAGUCAUUAAUGUAGUAGUCUGAGAUUUUAAUCUUAGUUAUUUGAUUUAAUUGUUUAAUAUGGACGUUACCAAAGUUUAAAUAUAAGCGACUGUCGUAAAACAA